GACGAACGCUGGCGGCGUGCUUAACACAUGCAAGUCGAACGGAAAGGCCUUUUCGGGGGUACUCGAGUGGCGAACGGGUGAGUAACACGUGGGUGAUCUGCCCUGCACUCUGGGAUAAGCCUGGGAAACUGGGUCUAAUACCGGAUAGGACCUCACUCUAGUUUGUGUGGUGGAAAGUUUUUUCGGUGUAGGAUGUGCCCGCGGCCUAUCAGCUUGUUGGUGGGGUAUUGGCCUACCAAGGCGGCGACGGGUAGCCGGACUGAGAGGUUGUUCGGCCACAUUGGGACUGAGAUACGGCCCAGACUCCUACGGGAGGCAGCAGUGGGGAAUAUUGCACAAUGGGCGCAAGCCUGAUGCAGCGACGCCGCGUGGGGGAUGACGGCCUUCGGGUUGUAAACUGCUUUCGGCAGGGACGAAGCGUUUUGUGACGGUACCUGGAGAAGAAGCACCGGCUAACUACGUG
rnacentral:rRNA from 1 species